GUGGAGGACAUGUUGCAUCAGCUGGUGGUGGAAUUUCAGCAAUGACUGGAGCAGGAGGAGAAGCUCCUGGUGGUGGAGCUGGAGGACGAGGUGGUGGAGCUCAUGGAGGAGCUGGAAGAGG
rnacentral:sRNA from 1 species